AGAGUUUGAUUAUGGCUCAGGACGAACGCUGGCGGCGCGCCUAACACAUGCAAGUCGAACGGAAUUAAGAGGAGCUUGCUUUUCUUGAUUUAGUGGCGAACGGGUGAGUAACGCGUGAGUAACCUGCCCUGGAGUGGGGGACAACAGUUGGAAACGACUGCUAAUACCGCAUAAGCCCACGGUACCGCAUGGUACUGAGGGAAAAGGAUUUAUUCGCUUCAGGAUGGACUCGCGUCCAAUUAGCUAGUUGGUGAGGUAACGGCCCACCAAGGCGACGAUUGGUAGCCGGACUGAGAGGUUGAACGGCCACAUUGGGACUGAGACACGGCCCAG
rnacentral:rRNA from 1 species